rnacentral:rRNA from 1 species
GUGAGGAAUUUUCCGCAAUGGGCGAAAGCCUGACGGAGCAAUGCCGCGUGAAGGAUGAAGGCCUAUGGGUUGUAAACUUCUUUUCUCAGAAAAGAAUUAUGACGGUAUCUGAGGAAUAAGCAUCGGCUAACUCUGUGCCAGCAGCCGCGGUAAGACAGAGGAUGCAAGCGUUAUCCGGAAUGAUUGGGCGUAAAGCGUCUGUAGGUUGUUUAAAAAGUAUUCUGUCAAAGAUUAGGGCUUAACCCUAGAUAGGCAGAAUAAACUUUUAAGCUAGAGUUUGGUAGAGGCAGAGGGAAUUCCCGGUGGGGCGGUGAAAUGCGUAGAUAUCGGGAGGAACACCAAAGGCGAAGGCACUCUGCUGGGACAAUACUAACACUGAGAGACGAAAGCGAGGGGAGCAAAUGGGAUUAGAUACCCUUGUAGUCC